CCUGGUAGCAAGUACUAUAGUACUGUCUGCGAGGCUACAACUCGCCGCUUACUCUCUCUCUCAGCCAUACUACC
rnacentral:tRNA from 1 species